GAAAUGCGAUAAGUAGUGUGAAUUGCAGAAUUCAGUGAAUCAUCGAAUCUUUGAACGCACAUUGCGCCCUUUGGUAUUCCAAAGGGCAUGCCUGUUCGAGCGUCAUUUGUACCCUCAAGCUUUGCUUGGUGUUGGGCGUCUUGUCUCUAGCUUUGCUGGAGACUCGCCUUAAAGUAAUUGGCAGCCGGCCUACUGGUUUCGGAGCGCAGCACAAGUCGCACUCUCUAUCAGCAAAGGUCUAGCUUCCAUUAAGCCUUUUUUUCAACUUUUGACCUCGGAUCAGGUAGGGAUACCCGCUGAACUUAAGC
rnacentral:misc_RNA from 1 species